UACUAGUCCUACUUAAAACUUAAAAGACUUGACGGUACUUCAUCACAACCUAGAGGAGCCUGUCCAAUAACCGACAAUCCACGAUUAACCCAGCCCCUUCUCGCCCCACAGUCUAUAUACCGCCGUCGCCAGCUUACCUUGUAAAAGAAAUAAAGUAAGCUAAACAGUACUACACUAAAACGACAGGUCGAGGUGUAACCCAUGAAAGGGACCAAGAUGGGCUACAUUCUCCAACUAAGAAUACGAAUAACACUAUGAAAUUAAUGUUUGAAGGCGGAUUUAGCAGUAAGAUAAGAAUAAAAUACCUAACUGAACAUAACGCAAUGAAGUGCGUACACACCGCCCGUCACCCCUGCCACCAC
rnacentral:rRNA from 1 species